rnacentral:rRNA from 1 species
UACAGAGGUCUCAAGCGUUGUUCGGAUUCAUUGGGCGUAAAGGGUGCGUAGGUGGCGCUGUAAGUCGGGUGUGAAAUUUCGGAGCUUAACUCCGAAACUGCAUUCGAUACUGCGGUGCUUGAGGACUUGGAGAGGAGACUGGAAUUCAUGGUGUAGCAGUGAAAUGCGUAGAGAUCAUGAGGAAGACCAGUGGCGAAGGCGGGUCUCUGGACAGUUCCUGACACUGAGGCACGAAGGCCAGGGGAGCAAACGGG